rnacentral:lncRNA from 1 species
UUUAACGCAAACCGCAGAUCAAUAUCUUAAUUUUUGACCAAGUUAUGAUAGGUCAAAGGUCAAAUUUGACCUAUUUUCAAAAAAUCAUAACUCCGGUUCAAAUUAUCGUAAAGAAAAAAAUAAAACGGGAAAAUUUACCAAAUUGUAAGCACUUAUAAGUAAAAAUCACAGAAAUUACUUCAAACUAAUUUUAAGGGGGUUUCGGACCCCCAAAUACGUCAUUUUAAAGGUCAUACGAUUUUCCCGCAAAAUGAGCCAAUUUCCCCUUACUUUGCGUCAACAUUACCUUAGUAAGUUCAAAAUUAGUUCAACAUUGCAUUUUCAAGUCCCCAAAUUUCGGGAAAAGUUCAAAAAGUGAAAUUUAAGGUGAUUCAAUUCAACCAUUUAAAUUUUUUUUAAGUGAUUUUUACUUAAAAGUGCUUACAAUUUGGUAAAUUUUCCCGUUUUAUUUUUUUCUUUACGAUAAUUUGAACCGGAGUUAUGAUUUUUUGAAAAUAGGUCAAAUUUGACCUUUGACCUAUCAUAACUUGGUCAAAAAUUAAGAUAUUGAUCUGCGGUUUGCGUUAAAAUUCUUAGUUUUUUAUGUUCUUUCGAAUAAAGUAUCACAAGAUAGGGGUUACCAUUUGAAAAAAAAAAGUUGGGGGCCCCGCGCCCCCCCUGAGGGGGGGACAAAAAUUUUGACCCCUUAGAAGAUGGUCCCUUUUAAGAUAGGAACAUUCCCAAAGUUUCGUUUUUCUAUCUUUAACCUUUCAAAAGUUACAGAGGGGGGUACGGACUUUUGGGACACCCUGUAUGACUUCAUGAGCAAGUCUUGUCACCCAGGAAUAAUGGUUCGAUGGUUGCUUCACGCUAAAACUCAGUGUUUGGAGUUUCCUGGUCUUCAGAGUACUCCAAUUCACUGAUAUUUAUUUAAUUAUCGAUGCUUACGUACCAUACCACAUUCUGAGUUAGUGCUUUUGUUUGACAAAAUAACACUCAUAGAUGCAACAUGUGCGUUACGACUCCAUCGUGGAUAAUGAGCAACCAAUGGAGGCAACUGUUCAAGAUGAGGGGAAAGAGGUAGUGGUAAAGUAGGAAUUUUUGUACUCAUUGGUUGAACAAAAUGUCCCUUUCUUGAAUAUCAUUCGUUUUAGAUUUCUGACACCUGUGGGAUAUGAAAACAGCAAAAUUAAAAAUAAUUCAGGCAAUACCAAGAUGUUUAAGUACAGCAAAAUUCAGGUCAGAAAAAAAGUAAGUACCGCUGCACAAGAAAACAGAAUUUCGGUAGCAUUGAAAUUUACUGCUUUUAAACCAAGAUAAAUGCGUGAAUAAAUUGAGGUGAAGAUCUUCUUCCCACACUGAAUGAUCAUUCUCAUGCAUACCUUGUUCAAAUGAUACGUAGGGUCUCCAGCUUCAUGGGUUGCUGGGGAGGGCCAUCCCUAAUGUAAUGAUGAAUUAAUAAAGUUUCUUAAACCUUUAAAUGAUUUCACAGUAACAGGGAAUUUUGAAAAGCGCACACUUUACAAAUAAAAGUGCACCAAUCAGGUAUAACCUAACUUAUUUCAUCCUCAGGACCUCAGGUAUUAAUUCAUUACUGUAUUUGGAAAGUUAUAAUCCAUGGUAUUCUACUUGAAAUGUUGAUUGGUAAACAAACUUUGUGAUUCCUGAUUUCAAACCCUGAUUAUUAGUCCAGUCUGAGGUGAUUAAGCAUGUCCCCGGUUUUGGGAAUGAUUUAACUUCGAUGCAAUAUUCAGGGUGUUCCAAAGUCCCGCCAGCACCCCCCCCCCUGACUUUUGAAUCAUCCAUCCGAAAUAGAAAGACAAAACCAUAGAAUAAUAAAGCUAACGCCAAUAGAAGGGCCACUCGCGUAAGCGGCCGUUGUGACUCUCGCCUGCUGUGUCCAGGUUUGGUUAGGUCCCGUUGCCCUAUACUUUUCUGAACCCGCCAGCUCUUUGCAAGCUUGUCAAAUGUAAUAGUAGGGAACAACUAAUUGCGGGGUUGCCAAAUGUAAUCAGUGGUGCCAGAGAAGAGUCUAAUGUUUUGUAAGUGUAAAGGUCACUGACACAGAGUAAAAGAGUAAAAGUAUCAAAAUUAAUGUAACGGAAACGAUUUCCACAGCCUUGUCGUGCUCAUGCUGGCCAGAUGACUGAUAAAAUCACAUGUGAUCAGCUACAGUUAUGCCGCAAUCACACGCUGAAUGUGGGAGCUGAAUGUGGCUUGAAUGUGGAAGUCAUCGGCCCGAUGCCUGAAUUUUGCGCGUGACGCGCAAAAUUCAGCAACGAUUUUUAGCAACCAUCGAACUAAUGUUGAAUUUUUCUGAAUUAUUCGAGUAGAUUUGAUACACAUCUGGAUGAAAAUAACUCGAAUUUGCUACAUUUCAGCCGUUGGGCGAUGACUGUUGACUUCCACAUUCAGCUGCUAAAUUCAGCGUGUGAUUGCGGCAUUCAGCCCUGGAUAGACGAUCAAAAUGGCUGUUUGCACCCAAAGAGGAAUUAGGCGAAUGUCUUGGGGAGACCCAAGACAAACAACAUUAUUAUUAUUACUCUAUAUAAAGCUGCUGUUACCACUCACUAUGCCCCCCCUAGAGAAAAAUUGGCCGAAGCGAUUUCCUUUAAAAUUGGUACACGCUUAGCUAUUGUACGAGGAGUUGAUUAAAAUUAUUCCCAUUCAAAUCCGCUAACUAGGACGCCCGCAAGAGCGAAAAGUUGUUUCUCCCUAUACUAAUGCAUUGGGGAUACGCGGUUGUUUACGCGAACCGCGCUGAACAGGUUCAAUCCUGUCGCGUGACGUCACAGCAUUAUAGAUACAAUCUCAGGUUUUAGGGGGUAUUUAUCGACGGAUUUACGUGAUACGCGGUAUCCGAUGGUAUUUUUCGACGGGAAACUCGAAUUUUUGGUCAGAUUUUCAAAAUUUCAAAAUCCAAGAUGGCGGCCGUGGCCUAAAAAGCUAAGUCGGCUCCUGCUCGCUCGAUUUUCGUGAAACUCGUUAUCCAGGGGUAUUUUUCGACGGGAAACUCGAAUUUUUGGUCAGAUUUUCAAAAUUUCAAAAUCCAAGAUGGCGGCCGUGGCCUAAAUAGCUAAGUCGGCUCCUGCUCGCUCGAUUUUCGUGAAACUCGGUAUCCGAGGGUAUUUUUCAACGGGAAACUCGAAUUUUUGGUCAGAUUUUCAAAAUUUCAAAAUCCAAGAUGGCGGCCGUGGCCUAAAAAGCUAAGUCGGCUCCUGCUCGCUCGAUUUUCGUGAAACUCGGUAUCCGGGGGUAUUUUUCGACGGGAAACUCGGAUUUUUGGUCAGUAUUUCAACAUUUCAAAACCCAAGGUGGCGCCCCGCACAAAUAUGCGGUCCCGGCUCCUGAAACAUCAAUUUCUGUAAAACUUGGUGAAAAAGAAGAUUAAGACAAAGAUGUUUUCUUCUCAUCAAUGUUAAAAACUAUGCGGGGCGGUGGCGGCUCGCGGAGCGAGUCGCAAGGUCAUCGCAAAGCGAAGAACUGGGGUCCAGGGGCACUCCCCGGCUAGGCGUGUCAGCUCGCGAAGCGAGCUAACCACGACUAGUUACUCUAUAUAAAGCUGCUGUUCCCACUCACUCUGCCCCCCCUAGAGAAAAAUUGGCCGAAGCGAUUUCCUUUAAAAUUGGUACACGCUUAGCUAUUGUAACGAGGAGUUGAUUAAAAUUAUUCCCAUUCAAAUCCGCUAACUAGGACGCCCGCAAGAGCGAAAAGUUGUUUCUCCCUAUACUAAUGCAUUGGGGAUACGCGGUUGUUUACGCGAACCGCGCUGAACAGGUUCAAUCCUGUCGCGUGACGUCACAGCAUUUUAGAUGAAAUUUCAGGUUUUAGGGGGUAUUUAUCGACGGAUUUACGUGAACCUUGGAAUCCGGGGGUACUUUUCGACGGGAAACUCGAAUAUUUGGUCAGAUUUUAAAAAAUUCAAAAUCCAAGAUGGCGGCCGUGGCCUAAAAUGGUAAGUCGGCUCCUGCUCGCUCGAUUUUCGUGAAACUCGGUAUCCAGAGGAAGUUUUCAACGGGAAACUCAAAUUUUCCGUCAUAUUUUCAAAAUUUCAAAAUCCAAGAUGGCGGCCGUGGACUAAAAUGCUAAGUCGGCCCCUGUUCGAUCGAUUUUCGUGAAACUCGGUUAUUGGGGGUACUUUUCAACGAGAAACUCGAAUUUUAGGUCAGAUUUUCAAAAUUCCAAAAUCCAAGAUGGCGGCCGUGGCCAAAGAUAACAUUUUCACCACUAUUCAUCACUUCGUUAAAAAAAAAAAGUAAAUUCGUUCUUUUAAAAGUUAAUAGCUAUAAGGGGCGGCUCGCGGAACGAGUUGCAAGUUCCUAGCGAAGCGAGGAACCGGGGGUCCAGGGGCACUCCCCGGCUACGUGUGACAGCUCGCACAGCGAGCUGAACACGGCUAGUUACUCUAUAUAAAGCUGCUGUUCCCACUCACUAUCCCCCCCCCCCUAGAAAAAAAUUGGCCGAAGCGAUUUCCUUUAAAUUGGUACGCGCUUAGCUAUUGUAACGAGGAGUUGAUUAAAAUUAUUCCCGUUCAAAUCCGCUGCCUAGGACGCCCGCAAGAGCGAAAAGUUGUUUCUCCCUAUACUAAUGCAUUGGGGAUACGCGGUUGUUUACGCGAACCGCGCUGAACAGGUUCAAUCCUGUCGCGUGACGUCACAGCAUUAUAGAUGAAAUUUCAGGUUUUAGGGGGUAUUUAUCGACGGAUUUACGUGAAACUUGGUAUCCGGGGGUACUUUUCGACGGGAAACUCGAAUAUUUGGUCAGAUUUUCAAAAUUCAAAUCCAAGUUGGCGGCCGUGGCCUAAAAUGCUAAAUCGGCUCCUGAUCCAUCGAUUUUCGUGAAACUCGGUAUCCCAGGGUAAUUUUCGACGGGAAACUCAAAUUUUCCGUCAUAUUUUCAAAUUUUCAAAAUCCAAGAUGGCGGCCGUGGCCUAAAAUGCUAAGUCGGCUCCUGCUCGCUCAAUUUUCGUGAAACUCGGUAUCCGGAGGUAUUUUUCAACGGGAAACUCGAAUUUUUGGUCAGAUUUUCAAAAUUUCAAAAUCCAAGAUGGCGGCCGUGGCCUAAAAUGCUAAGUCGGCUCCUGCUCGCUCAAUUUUCGUGAAACUCUAUCCAGGGAUAUUUUUCAACGGG